AGCCUACUCUAGCCCAACUAUACCCACCACUGUAAUAGCCAAAAAUUUACUCAACCUCUAAACUAAAACAUUCUCCAAACUUAGUAUGGGCGAUAGAAAAGACACUUUGGCGCGAUAGAGACUCUGUACCGUAAGGGAAAGAUGAAAUAACAAUGAAAAACAAAGCAAUAAACAGCAAAGACAAGCCCUUGUACCUCUUGCAUCAUGAUUUAGUAAGAAUAAUCAAGCAAAAUGAAUUUAAGCUUGCCACCCCGAAACCCAAGCGAGCUACUUGCAAGCAGCUAUCCAUGAGCGAACCCGUCUCUGUUGCAAAAGAGUGGGACGACUUGCUAGUAGAGGUGAAAAGCCUAUCGAGCUGGGUGAUAGCUGGUUGCCUGUGAAAUGAAUCUGAGUUCUCCCCUGACCGUUUUCCCUCGGACGCUGCCUUAACCUUAAUGUAACAGGUCAGGAGUAAUUUAAAGGAGGUACAGCUCCUUUAAAAAAGAAGACAACCUCCACUAGCGGAUAACUACUCAAUUAACACAACCGUGGGCCUUCAAGCAGCCACCAACAAAGAGUGCGUCACAGCUCUACAUGUAAAAAUCCCAAUAACUAAACGACUCCCUCUCUACUAACGGGCUAACCUAUAACAAUAGAAGAAUUAAUGCUAAAAUGAGUAACUAGGGGUCUACCCCUCUUAAGCGCAAACUUACAUUCUCACAUUAUUAACAGACUAUAAACUAAUAUUACAACUCUAACAAGAUUAAAAUAUUUAAACCUAGCCCUGUUACCCCGACCUAGGAGCGCCUAUUAGAAAGAUUAAAAUCUGUAAAAGGAACUAGGCAAACCCAAGGCCCGACUGUUUACCAAAAACAUAGCCUUCAGCCAACCAAGUAUUGAAGGUGAUGCCUGCCCAGUGACAUUAAUGUUUAACGGCCGCGGUAUCCUAACCGUGCGAAGGUAGCGCAAUCAAUUGUCCCAUAAAUCGAGACUUGUAUGAAUGGCUAAACGAGGUCUUAACUGUCUCUUACAGAUAAUCAGUGAAAUUGAUCUCCCUGUACAAAAGCAGGGAUACCCACAUAAGACGAGAAGACCCUGUGGAACUUAAAAAUCAGCGACCACCUCACAUAAUAAUCCAAACCUAACAGGCCCACACACCCCCCAAAUAUUGGUCUGCAUUUUUCGGUUGGGGCGACCUUGGAGAAAAACAGAUCCUCCAAAAAUAAGACCAAACCUCUUAACUAAGAGCCACCUUUCAACGUACUAACAGUAACCAGACCCAAUAUAAUUGAUCAAUGGACCAAGCUACCCCAGGGAUAACAGCGCAAUCCCCUCUAAGAGCUCACAUCGACGAGGGGGUUUACGACCUCGAUGUUGGAUCAGGACAUCCUAAUGGUGCAGCCGCUAUUAAGGGUUCGUUUGUUCAACGAUUAACAGUCCUACGUGAUCUGAGUUCAGACCGGAGCAAUCCAGGUCGGUUUCUAUCUAUGAUGAACCUUCCCUAGUACGAAAGGACCGGGAAAGUAGGGCCUAUACCACAAGCACGCCCUCUCUUUAAGUAAUGAGUGCAACUAAAUUACCAAAAGAUCCACACCCCCUUACUCCUAGAAAAGGACCA
rnacentral:rRNA from 1 species